rnacentral:rRNA from 1 species
AUUGAACGCUGGCGGCAGGCCUAACACAUGCAAGUCGAGCGGAUGAAGGGAGCUUGCUCCUGGAUUCAGCGGCGGACGGGUGAGUAAUGCCUAGGAAUCUGCCUGGUAGUGGGGGAUAACGUCCGGAAACGGGCGCUAAUACCGCAUACGUCCUGAGGGAGAAAGUGGGGGAUCUUCGGACCUCACGCUAUCAGAUGAGCCUAGGUCGGAUUAGCUAGGUGGUGGGGUAAAGGCCUACCAAGGCGGCUAUCCGUAACUGGUCUGAAAGGAUGAUCCGUCACACUGGAACUGAGACACGGCCCAGACUCCUACGGGAGGCAGCAGUGGGGACUAUUGGACGAUGGGGGAAUGCCUGAUCCAGCCCUGCCGCGUGUGUCAAGAAGGUCUUCGGCUUGGAAAGCAAUUUAAGUUGGGAGGAAGGGAAGUAAGUUAAUACCUUGCUGUUUUGACGUUACCAACAGAAUAAGCACCGGCUAACUUCGUG